GAGGACACACGGACGGCGUCCAUCCUUCAUGUGGCCAUGUGUAACCUGAGGCGUCCCCUGCCUCCAAGCCCUCCAUAUGUCUGUCUCUCCCUUCCCCUGUGUGCACGUCUCUCCUCAGCAGCCGUCUCUGCGCGGACCUCCCCCUCUCAGCUCCUCCCCUAGCUGUCUCUUUCUCUAGGAGUGUCUUUGUCUGGGUGUCUCUCAGAUCCCUCAGACAGCUGCACAGAGAGGACCCAAGAGACGUUUCUCAGAGAGGCCAGACCCCCAGAUCACAAUCUGAGAUGUCGGAGUUACAAGAAGUUCAGAUUACGGAUGAGAAUGCUCUUCUGCAGGAUCCCUUAAAGGCAGCUGAGCUAGCAGCAAAACUACUUCAAGUGCAAGAACAGGUAUGCCUGCGUCUAUGACGGAGAGCCUCCCAUCCUGUAUAUUUGGGAGGUUGCUUGUGCAUGUCUUAUCAGCGUGUAAGGAAUAGCCAUGCCUUCUAUGAAGGUGCCGUCUGUGUCCUCUGUAUGGGAUGGUCUUC